UUCAGUAAUUCUUUGAGGUUAUUUCUUUUUCUGACGGAAUGAGUGCUCUGAUAUAUAAUUUUCCCUUUUUGGUUUUUAUAUUUUCUUACAGACUCAUCUCAAAAACUCUCUCCCCUACAAGAACUGGACUGAAUUUCCACCUCAUGUUUAGAGGACAACUGGUUUAGCCAACUUAUUGUCACAUUUUAUUCUCCUCCAGGCACUGGAGAUAUAUACAUGCUGAAGAAAAUGGACAAGGGACAAGCACAGUGUACUCUGGGACUCAAUGGAGAAUCAUCUAACCCAGUCUUGACAGCUCAGAGAGGCUAUCCCAGAGGAGCUGGCUGGUACAGGGAUCCAAACCCUUGACCUUGGUGUUAUAAGGCUGUGCUCCAACCAACCGAGCCAACCAGCCAGACCCAUAAUUUAGAUACCAGGAAACUCAGAAGGUUGAAGAAACUCGGCCUAAGGCUCAGCAGCUACCGUAGUGGUCAAAUCACUGGGGCUGCCUUGCUCAUGGAGAUCAUGUCUUUGCUGACCUCUUUCUUGUGGGAAACUGCUCCACAAUCCCUGCGUCCAACAUUUGGUCUGAUUGAAAGAUGCCUCGUUCUGUGUGACCUCAAUCUCCUGGGCUACACUGACUGAACUUGGAGUGGCCACCUGACUGAAGCUGGACUAAUCAUAAUAACCCUCCUUAUCCAACACUUGAAUUCAGGAGAAGAGCAUGGACAAUUAGAAUUGUUUCAUUCUUUCUUUUUUUUUUUUUAACUUGGACAAGAAGAAGGAUGAAGGAAGCUGAGGGAGGUGACAUAAGGAAAACUUCCUCUUUGCUGGUUGGGAAGCCAUUCCUAUGGGAGCCAGAGGUCACUGCAAGUUGCUGUGGUAGGCACAUUGAGAGCUCUGGUCCGAGAGAAGGAAGCUGACAUACAGACAGAAACAGCGAUGAAAGGGAGGAACCUAGCAGCACUCAUAUCCCUGGCUCAGUUGUCCUUGACGACAUCUGUGUUUUUAUGCUUCUGUCGAUUUUGUUUCCUGACCC